CCUACGGGAGGCAGCAGUGGGGAAUAUUGGGCAAUGGAGGAAACUCUGACCCAGCGACGCCGCGUGAGGGAUGAAGGCCUUCGGGUUGUAAACCUCUUUCAGUAGGGAAGAAGCGAAAGUGACGGUACCUACAGAAGAAGCACCGGCUAACUAUGUGCCAGCAGCCGCGGUAAUACAUAGGGUGCAAGCGUUGUCCGGAAUUAUUGGGCGUAAAGAGCUCGUAGGUGGUUCGAUACGUCGGAUGUGAAAAUCAGGGGCUCAACCCCUGACCUGCAUCCGAUACGGUCGAGCUAGAGUUUGGUAGGGGAGACUGGAAUUCCUGGUGUAGCGGUGGAAUGCGCAGAUAUCAGGAGGAACACCGAUGGCGAAGGCAGGUCUCUGGGCCAAUACUGACACUGAGGAGCGAAAGCGUGGGGAGCGAACAGGAUUAGAUACCCUGGUAGUCCACGCCGUAAACGGUGGGCGCUAGUUGUGCGAACCUUCCACGGUUUGUGCGACGCAGCUAACGCAUUAAGCGCCCCGCCUGGGGAGUACGAUCGCAAGAUUAAAACUUAAAUGAAUUGACGG
rnacentral:rRNA from 1 species